rnacentral:rRNA from 1 species
AGAGUUUGAUCCUGGCUCAGGAUGAACGCUGGCGGCGUGCUUAAUACAUGCAAGUCGAACGGAGGUAUGUAGCAAUACGUAUCUUAGUGGCGAACGGGUGAGUAACACGUUGGUGACCUACCCCAGAGAGGGGGAUAACAGCUCGAAAGGGCUGCUAAUACCCCAUGUCGUCAUGGUGCUUAGAAAGCCAUGCCGAAAGGUGCAAACCGCUCUGGGAGGGGCCUGCGUCCCAUCAGCUAGUUGGUAGGGUAAUGGCCUACCAAGGCGACGACGGGUAGGGGACCUGAGAGGGUGACCCCCCACACUGGCACUGAAACACGGGCCAGACACCUACGGGUGGCAGCAGUAGGGAAUAUUGCACAAUGGGGGAAACCCUGAUGCAGCAACGCCGCGUGGGUGAAGAAGGCUUUCGGGUCGUAAAACCCUUUUCCAGGGGAAGAGCAAGGACGGUACCCUGGGAAUAAGUCCCGGCUAACUACGUGCCAGCAGCCGCGGUAAAACGUAGGGGGCGAGCGUUAUCCGGAAUUACUGGGCGUAAAGCGCGUGCAGGCGGCUUGGUAGGUUGGACGUGAAAGCUCCUGGCUUAACUGGGAGAGGCCGUUCAAAACCGCCAGGCUUGAGGACGGAAGAGGGGAGUGGAAUUCCCGGUGUAGUGGUGGAAUGCGUAGAUAUCGGGAGGAACACCUGUGGCGAAAGCGGCUCCCUAGUCCGUAUCUGACGCUCAGACGCGAAAGCGUGGGGAGCGAACGGGAUUAGAUACCCCGGUAGUCCACGCUGUAAACGAUGGAUGCUAGGUGUGGGAGGUCUUGACCCCUUCCGUGCCGUAGCUAACGCGUUAAGCAUCCCGCCUGGGGACUACGGCCGCAAGGUUAAAACUCAAAGGAAUUGACGG